rnacentral:rRNA from 1 species
UACGGGGGGAGCAAGCGUUGUUCGGAUUUACUGGGCGUAAAGGGCGCGUAGGCGGCCGCCGCAAGUCGAUUGUGAAAUCUCCGGGCUUAACCCGGAAAGGUCAACCGAUACUGCGGGGCUAGAGUGCGGAAGGGGCAACUGGAAUUCUUGGUGUAGCGGUGAAAUGCGUAGAUAUCAAGAGGAACACCUGCGGCGAAGGCGGGUUGCUGGGCCGACACUGACGCUGAUGCGCGAAAGCUAGGGGAGCGAACGGG